GAUCUUACCAUUUCAAAAUGAUAGUUUUCAGUUUAAAAAAAUCUUAUCUAAAUAUUGAAGGUAGAUCUCGGGAGUAAUAUGUCAACCGCCCAGCCUGUUUAAAAUUAUUACUUGCUUGUACUAUUGAUAAGUUUUUGGGUUUUUUUUUUUUUUUUACAAAUGCCAAAAAUCUGGCAUGCAGUACUUGUUGUUUUGGAAUUCUGUGAUUAAUUUAUAUGUUUUAUUAUUUAUGAAAGACAAGAAUACAAAAAUGAGAUUAUUUUGAAACUCAAAAUUAUAAAUCACAAUAUUUUCUGGAUUUCUUUUCUCAACAAUACUGAGUGUUCAUGUAAUUUUUUUUUAUUAAAUAAGAGGGUAUUUUGUAUAAACUGCUUGUAUAUUUUUGCACAUGUGCAUUAGGAAAGUUCAUGCAUUAUAGAACAGGAAAUGAUUUAUCAAUUUUUUUUUUACAAAAUGCAUAUCAUUCUGAUUUUUUGCUCAAUACAUUUGAAUAGAUGUAUGUACACAUCUCUGCUAGCCAAGGUGUUUUCAAAACACUAGGCUAGCUUGGUUGUUAAUAAGAGUAGCAGAGUGGACUAAUAACUCAUUGCAAUAGUCACGAUGGUAUAUGCAAGACAUAAACAGUGUGCUGGCAGUUUAAGCACUUUAUAUACUUAUAACUCACUUGUUAUUGAUACACAUAAGGUCUGCCUGACAUACAUUAAUCUAUCAAUGAACAUCUGCCAGGAGGACUGUACAUGUAAUUUUUAUGAUAUUUACAUGUAAAUGUAUGUAAAUUUAUGAACUGGUUGGUAUACAUGUAUAUUCAUUUGAUUGUACAUGUAAUGUUUAAGCAAGAAGCUUGCGCAAUUAAAGAACUAUUUUGUUGACAAAUCAAUA
rnacentral:sRNA from 1 species